rnacentral:lncRNA from 1 species
UGCUUAUAAGUAUACUUUCAAUAUAAAACUCAUAUUUUAAAAAUAUAUAUUUGUUUAUAAUACUCUCAUAUUAUUAAAUCCAGAGAUUUUUAAAAAAUCAAAUCCAUUUAUAUCCCACUAUUCUGUGCUGUUUAUUUGCUUUUUGCAGUACAGUCAGCCUAAACUGUGAUGCAGAAGUAUCUACCACCUGUAGCUUACAAGUUUCUGAUAUGUUUAACACUGUAGUAUUUAAGCAUCAUAUCCAAAAAUUAUUAGAAACUCUAGUGUAGUCUAAUUAGGACCAGGGUUUUUUGUUUUGUUUGUUUGCUCAUCCUAGGACACUGUUGCCUUUCUGAAGGAUAAUUUUGGGUGCUGAUUGCAAAGGAAAUAUAUCUAUCCCUUCGAGUUGCCACCUUUCUUGGAGGAAGGCCUCAAGUCUCACACUAUCUUCUGGACGUGGCAAGACUGUGGCACUACCAGGGAGUUCCAUAGGUGAGGGCCCUCAGCUAAUACCUUAAAUGCAACAAAUUGGCAAAUGCUGAGUGGAACCCUGGUUACCGUGCAACCCUCUAAUCAGAGAGAGACUCAGCUGGGGAACAACUGACUGUUCAGCUCCACCCCAAUCUACUCUCUGCCCUACAGCUUCUCCUCCUCCUAAGCAGUUCUGGAGGUCACUUUACUCUGUGGAUGCAGGUAAUAUCUCUUCUUCACAACAGGUAUGUGUUGAGGAAGCAGGGAUGUCUGUCAUUGUCAGACCUGUGGAAGAAGAGCAAGUGAAAGUUUUAGGCAAAAAUUUCAGAAGGCUGGGUCUAUACUAGAAAAGUUAGCUGUUGCUGAUAACAGGUCUUCAAGCUGGCCUUAACUAGAGUUUCCUGAAGGUGCAAAACACAGCUUGUCCUGAUCUAUGCUUGCAAUUAAACCAUAUGCAAGUGAAGAGGUGCUGACCCUGUUGCUGAAACUUGUUGACAUCAUGCAAGAGGUAAUUUUCCUAGUUAGGUGAGACUAAAAGGUGUGUCUGUUUCAUGAAAGCCGGGCACAUGUUUCAGGAAGGAGAAAACUGCUCUUUUUUUUGGUCCAACAAAUGAUCUUUCUAGGAUUUAACAUAUGAAUUAGUAGCUGAGAAAUAUGCUUGUUGAGGAAAUUUCCAAGAUCCGUCCCUCACCUGCAGAACAAACUUAAAUAGUAAAAUUUAAUUUGCCAAAUGUUAAUACUCUCAGAUGUAUAUAUUUAAACAUACUGGAGUAAAUUCAGCCCUGGUGUAAGUGGGUCAAACUUCAGUGGAGUUUGGAAGUAAUACACAUGUU